UACGGAGGGUGCAAGCGUUAUCCGGAUUCACUGGGUUUAAAGGGUGCGUAGGUGGGCAAGUAAGUCAGUGGUGAAAUCUCCGGGCUUAACCCGGAAACUGCCAUUGAUACUAUUUGUCUUGAAUACUGUGGAGGUCAGCGGAAUAUGUCAUGUAGCGGUGAAAUGCUUAGAUAUGAUAUAGAACACCAAUUGCGAAGGCAGCUGGCCACACAAAUAUUGACACUGAGGCACGAAAGCGUGGGGAUCAAACAGG
rnacentral:rRNA from 1 species